AUUGAACGCUGGCGGCAGGCCUAACACAUGCAAGUCGAGCGGAUGAAGAGAGCUUGCUCUCUGAUUCAGCGGCGGACGGGUGAGUAAUGCCUAGGAAUCUGCCUGGUAGUGGGGGACAACGUUUCGAAAGGAACGCUAAUACCGCAUACGUCCUACGGGAGAAAGCAGGGGACCUUCGGGCCUUGCGCUAUCAGAUGAGCCUAGGUCGGAUUAGCUAGUUGGUGAGGUAAUGGCUCAACAAGGCGACGAUCCGUAACUGGUCUGAGAGGAUGAUCAGUCACACUGGAACUGAGACACGGUCCAGACUCCUACGGGAGGCAGCAGUGGGGAAUAUUGGACAAUGGGCGAAAGCCUGAUCCAGCCAUGCCGCGUGUGUGAAGAAGGUCUUCGGAUUGUAAAGCACUUUAAGUUGGGAGGAAGGGCAGUAAGUUAAUACCUUGCUGUUUUGACGUUACCGACAGAAUAAGCACCGGCUAACUCUGUGCCAGCAGCCGCCGUAA
rnacentral:rRNA from 1 species